rnacentral:piRNA from 1 species
UGACAGAGACUGACGUGGAGGUGUG